UUUGGUUCAUCAAUUCUGAAUUGAGAGUAAGUUACAAGAUGAGAAUCCCUAGUGAACUUGUUCCUGUCAGCCAAUUUCGACGGCUAAAAACUGCCACUUCUGCUCUUCAGAUGACAACGACUUCUUCAUGAAAGUUUCUGGAAAUCGGGUCUACUAUGCUGUGCUAAAAUUUGACGAUGAUCCAACGGUUAGAUUGUCCUCAAUUAAGAUAUGGGUCAUGUUUCCUCAUCGGCGUUGAGUUAAUAUCAUGAAGUUUUCAUCUCCUUGAGUUUACACUAUUGAUUCGGCAAUUGGUGACAUGUAGAAGAGUCAUGGAGAAAGAAUCAGGAGAAUUGAGUUAUGCCUGAAUCAUUCCCGGAAGGUCAGACUGCCAGAACAGAGUAACCUACUGCCUGCCGAGAGAAGUGUUCCUGAUAGACCUAGGGAAGCAAAGCAGCUGAUCCACGAAGCCUAGUCUAUGAAAAGAGAGGUCCAAACCAAGUCCAAUAUGGAGAAGAAGAUCUAAAUUCGGCAGAAUAUCAAGGAAUAUCCAAGUCUUGAAAAUCCUGAUUAAUUUCGGGAAAAUUCCUGUGCACGUCUCUCAACUUCAACGGACUCUCCAGGACAGCUCACAAUGAAUCAGAAAACGUGCUAGAUAUGGAUAGAGAGCUACGGGAAUCUAGUUUCCAAAUCA